UUCAUUAGAAGAAGAAGAGGGACGGUAAAUCUGGCUAAUGCUAACUUGCUGAACUCCAAGCAGGAAAGCUGGCCGAGAAACAGCCCAAGAGAAAAAGAAAGGGUAUGAUCAGGCAAAGGCUAGGAGCUGCGUAAACAUCGGAGAGGCUUUCCAAUGGUGGACAGACCUGCGAGAGCUGAAAGGCCUGAAGACGGAUGUGGAGGUUGCUCUGUUUCUGCGUGAUAACUUGUCUUUAUCCCCCUUCCGGCUGAUUAGAACAAUUCAGGGCCAGAUGUGUGUCCUCACGGCCCGGCCAAGACCUCCCUGGAGGGGAGCCGUCCUUCCAGCCGUCCUUCUGCCAGCAGGUCUUCCCUGCCUCUCUGGAGCCCUGGGAGAGACGAGGGGAGGGAGAUGGGAGAGGGAAAGUGUGAGGGGGAGAGACAGAGAGAGAGAGAGGAGAGAGAGAGAAAAACUCACUCACCAAUGUCGCCUGGUCCUCAGCUACUCCUCCGCCCUCUGGCAGACGACAGCCGCUCCUCCUCUGGUGGACGGCAGCGAGUCCUCCGACCCCUGGCGGACGCAACGGCUCCUCCCUUUCCUGGCGGAUGGCAGCGGUUCCUGCGACUCCCAGCAGACGGCAGCGGCAAGGAUCUCCACGACAGCGCAUCCCUCCUCCUUCCCGGGUUUUGGCACCAAUGUAACGGGUAAGGAUGGGCAAGGAGGAGGAGGGAGCCGGCUGAGCAGUCAACUAAACUUUUAAUGACAUAAAUCAACUUAAAUCAACUUAAACACACAGACAAACACACACACUGCGCCCAUGUGUCUCUCUCUCUUUAUCCCCCUCCCGGCUGAUUAGAACAAUUCAGGGCCGGGCGUGCGUCCUCACGGCCCGGCCAUGCCCUUCUCCUCGUCACAAUUAUUAUUUUGCUUCACUUCACCCAGUUGUUAGUGUCGUUGCCUUGGCAAUGCGCGUGCAUGAAUUUGGGGGGCGGAACUUCUGAAGGGGCACUGAAGGGAGGGAUGUGUUUGUUUGGCUGUUGAGUUCAAAUAUCAACAGUCUUUCUCAGGAAUCGCUUAAUCCACCUUUAAUUGGAAUUUUUACUAGUUAGAGAGCUCUGUAAUUACAUUUUUAUGUAGUAAAAUACGGUCUGGGAAUUGCCACAAACCUCCCGAUUCAAUAUUACAAAGAUAUUUACUUGCCAAUUCGGUAUGUAUUGCGAUUUGUAAAGUAUUGCAAUUCUGUAAGUAUUGCGAUUUGAUGUUUUGAUAUAUUUAGCGGAGUUAACUCCUUUUUCUCAGAAAGAAAUGUCUACUGGAGAACAAUUGUUUCUGAAAUGACAUUUGUUUCAACUUGUAAUACAGAAUUUAUAGGUAAAAGGUAGGACUGUACAACUAAUUGACCAGUCGGUGCGUUAUCUGAGCUAUUAGUCAGCUAAUCGAUGUUAAAUAACCCAUGUAGUAGGCUGCAUUAUGUCGCAUGUUACCCAAUCAGACGUGUUUCAUAGGGAUAUAUGGACGCUAAUCACAGCCCUUUCACAGGGUAACUAACAGAUAUUCAACAGUUAAAUAGGCUAAAUAAUUAUAACCUCAUAUCCCACAAAGCUAUUAAAAUAAGAAAAGUAAAAAACACAGAAAGUUCCAAUACACAAAUAAACCUGUGGAUUGUGCAUGCAUAAUAACAGCAUCAUUACCCACAGCAGAGGAUUUGGUGUCCGACAGUUAACAAGUGGCACUUUGAUGGCUGCAGCAGCGGUAUUAAAGGAUUAAACGUAAAGAAUUAAAGGGACAGAGCUUCUCAGAAGACCUGUUCAUGUGGAACAUUGCACAGAUACAGCUUCCUAUAUUCACAUAUCAAUCAUUGUAUUAGCAUUAAGCUAAAUGUGUAUUUUUUCAAAGUAAAUAAUAAUAAUAAUAAAAAUAAAA